CCAUUGCCAGCAAUGACUGGACACCAAUUAAAAUAUGGAGCUACUUUCAGUUGAUUUGCCGAUACAAAGAAGAAGAAAUACACCUUAGCUAACCUUGGAAUCCCACAAGAAGCUAGCCAGCCAGCUUGUAUAAGUUCCCUAACUGCUUUUGUUGAUCAAUGUUUCAGCGCUUGUCUCGUGUAUUGUAUUGUAAAAUUUGAUUAUUUUGUAUUUUUGUGUUUGAUUUGCGGCAUUCUUACACAUAUAUUUUCAUUUUUGCCGAUUGCCAGCAAAAAUAUACGGCCUACUCUGCUGCUUAAAGCGGCUGCUGCUCGAUAUAAAGUGGACUAAGCGGUUCCAAAAUGUGUCCAGUUUUGUCAAAAAAUCCACAAUUAUCAAUGACGUAUCGCAUUAUCUACACAUACCCAAGAGCUGCGUAGAGCCACUAAUUUGGGGAAUUCCCCAUUAAUCGCAAUGUACCAGCAAUGUAAAGUGAGUGUAUAUGGCUGCAACUUUCAGAACCUCCCCCACUGGGUCAUGCAGAUUACUGGAGAAGUAGUGUCUCUUGGCGUCAUCAUUAUUUUUCUCCACCCCUAGAGAAAAAGUAGGUCAGCAAACCUCACUGGGAGACGUUCCAGAAACUUCUUGGUGUCGUUCCCCUGCAGUGAUGUCCAUUCGUAAUGUCCAGAAGCUUUGCCAUCUGGACCCCUUGCUUCCCAUACCCUGAACGUGAUACCACAGUCUUUAAUGAUCGUCUGUAGUGUUUGUAGGAAAAACUCAAGGCGGUACUCUGUUUCAUCAACAGUGAGUAGUGGGUGUGAAAUGAUGUCGUUCAACUCCUUCAAUACCUCAGAUAGUCCUGAACUAAUUGUUUCAUACGACUCUUCGGCUUUUAGGCCAGCAAAAGUAUGAUUGCCUGUAUGAAUGUCAAUAUAAAAAUAUUUUCACCACUUUCUCGUUUAAUAUUUUUAUUGUUAAGCUUACCCAUGCCUGAUAAAACAUUGUCUUGAAUUUC